CCAAGAUUAACACCAUUGACUAAGAUGAAGCUGGUGACAUGUUAUAAAAACUUAUGAUGGUGCUCACAGUAAAUCAAAAGUCACAGCUGGUCCACCUGUUUGAAUCCUGUUUUCUGUUGCUUCAACACUUGUCUAUAUCAUUUUAAAGAAGGCUAAACUGCCAGCCAUCAUCUCACUGCAUGACACAGAGUGAAGAAGUUAAGGAUUAGAUGUGAAGAUGGGUGAAAAUCUUCACACUUCACAAGGGGACAUCGUGAUGGGAAAAUCAUAGGAUUUGCUAACAUGACUGAUAAGGAUCAGAAGAUCAAGCUGUAGAUCUCCGUGUAUUUAAAGAAAUACCAACCAGGCUCAAGCAAAGGAAAUCAAUUCCAAAACAUGUAGCAGAUGGACCGAUAACCACAGGUUACGGAUCUAGUUACAACAAUGGACAUGUCAGCCAGGCUGAAGAAAAUAUAUCCUUUGGCUGCUUCCAGGAACCACCAAGAAUCUACUUUUGGGGAGAUUCUGGGGCCACCUGAGUAGAGAUGAAAGGUCAGAUGUACUAGUGCCCACGGUUUCACCUUCAUGGGGUAAUUGGUAGUAGAGUGACAAUGGUAAACUGAAGUAAACAGAGGUACAGGUAAAGGUUUUUUUCUUCUUCCUUUUUAAAAAUCUUACAAACAUGUAUUGUGCAAAAGAAGUAAGACCAAACAGAACCCAUAAGGUAUGAUUUCUUUUAUAUAAAGUUACAAAACAG
rnacentral:lncRNA from 12 species